UACGUAGGGAGCAAGCGUUGUCCGGAUUUAUUGGGCGUAAAGAGCUCGUAGGCGGUUCCGUAAGUCAGGUGUGAAAAAUCUGGGCUCAACCCAGUGGAGCACCUGAUACUGCGGUGACUCGAGUCCGGUAGGGGAGUGUGGAAUUCCUGGUGUAGCGGUGAAAUGACGCAGAUAUCAGGAGGAACACCGGUGGCGAAGGCGGGUCUCUGGGCAAUAACUGACGUGAGGAGCGAAAGCGUGGGGGAGCGAAACAGG
rnacentral:rRNA from 1 species